GACGAUCCGUGGUGGUAGUCCAUCAACCUUCCCCACGGGCAGUCCCCGGGAAACCUUUAAGUCUUUGGGUUCCGGGGGAAGUAUGGUUGCAAAGCUGAAACUUAAAGGAAUUGACGGAAGGGCACCACCAGGAGUGGAGCCUGCGGCUUAAUUUGACUCAACACGGGAAAACUCACCCGGCCCGGACACUAUGAGGAUUGACAGAUUGAUAGCUCUUUCUUGAUUUGGUGGUUGGUGGUGCAUGGCCGUUCUUAGUUGGUGGAGCGAUUUGUCUGGUUAAUUCCGAUAACGAACGAGACUCCUGCCUGCUAAUUAGUGCAUCUGUCUACUGUACCUGCGUAGGCGGUGUUUGGCGAGGCUGCUCCUAUACGCUGCUCCGGCUCGGUUGGCUUUCGGGUUGACUGUUGCUGGUGUAGUUGGGGUGGCUGGUCCGGCAUUAGCUUCCGGGUGCGGCGCGGGUGUCUACUUCUUAGAGGGACAAGCGGGAGAAGCCGCACGAAAUGGAGCAAUAACAGGUCUGUGAUGCCCUUAGAUGUCCGGGGCCGCACGCGCGCUACAAUGACGGUGGCAAUGAGUCUGACCUUCUGGCCCGAAAGGGUUGGGCAAACUGGUCAAUCACCGUCAUGACAGGGAUCGGGGCUUGGAAUUGUUCCCCGUGAACGAGGAAUUCCUAGUAAGUGCAAGUCAUAAGCUUGCGCUGAUUACGUCCCUGCCCUUUGUACACACCGCCCGUCGCUACUACCGAUUGAAUGGUUUAGUAAGGUCCUUGGAUUGCCCAUUGUGGUGGUCACCGAAAGGUGGCUG
rnacentral:rRNA from 1 species